GAACAUAUGCCCAGGUCCCCAGAGAACUGUUCUCCCACACUCACAGCUGUAUAGCAGCUUUAUUGACAGAAAUUGUGCACGUUUAGAGCUUAAAGUUGGCCACACAUCAACAGCUGUCCACUGGCAUCUACAAGGGACUGGUUCAUCAUCCUGCAUCCCAUCCAGCAUCAGGACAACGAAUUCCACAGAUACCCAACA
rnacentral:lncRNA from 1 species